rnacentral:rRNA from 1 species
ACUCAAAUGAAUAGACGGGGGCCCGCACAAGCAGUGGAGUAUGUGGUUUAAUUCGAAGCAACGCGAAGAACCUUACCAGGUCUUGACAUCGUGCGCAUAACCUAGAGAUAGGGAAGCCCUUCGGGGCGCAUAGACAGGUGGUGCAUGGUUGUCGUCAGCUCGUGUCGUGAGAUGUUGGGUUAAGUCCCGCAACGAGCGCAACCCUUACAGUUAGUUGCUACGCAAGAGCACUCUAACAGGACUGCCGUUGACAAAACGGAGGAAGGUGGGGAUGACGUCAAAUCAUCAUGCCCCUUAUGACCUGGGCUACACACGUACUACAAUGGUCGUCAACAGAGGGCAGCGAAGGAGCGAUCCGGAGCAAAUCUCUAAAAACGAUCUCAGUUCGGAUUGUAGGCUGCAACUCGCCUACAUGAAGUCGGAAUUGCUAGUAAUCGCGAAUCAGCAUGUCGCGGUGAAUACGUUCCCGGGCCUUGUACACACCGCCCGU